UAUUUAAAUAGCUUAUUUAGAGCAUAGUAUUGAAGAUACUAAGGAGAUAUAAAAUCUUUAAAU
rnacentral:tRNA from 1 species